rnacentral:rRNA from 1 species
GCCAGACUCCUACGGGAGGCAGCAGUGAGGAAUAUUGGUCAAUGGCCGGAAGGCUGAACCAGCCAAGCCGCGUGAAGGACGAAGGUGCCAAGCAUUGUAAACUUCUUUUGUCAAGGGACAAAAUCAGGCUCGAGAGCCUGACCGAGGGUACUUGAAGAAAAAGCAUCGGCUAACUCCGUGCCAGCAGCCGCGGUAAUACGGAGGAUGCGAGCGUUAUCCGGAUUUAUUGGGUUUAAAGGGUGCGUAGGUGGUUAAUUAAGUCAGCGGUGAAAGUUUGUGGCUCAACCAUAAAAUUGCCGUUGAAACUGGUUGACUUGAGUAUAUUUGAGGUAGGCGGAAUGCGUGGUGUAGCGGUGAAAUGCAUAGAUAUCACGCAGAACACCGAUUGCGAAGGCAUCUCACGAAUCCGCGAUUGACGCUGAUGCACGAAAGCGUGGGUAUCAAACAGGAUUAGAUACCCGCGUA